AAACAGAAACUAGAGAAGAGGAAUACAAAGAAGCUGAGGCACAGAGAGAAAAACCGGAGCAGCACGUACUCGUUUCACUGCUGACGUGUGGUGGUGCGGCCGUGGCCGUCAUCCUCAUUGCCAUGAAGGGAAGUGGCCAUGGAGGACCUGGGGGAAAACACCACUGUCCUGUCCAUGCUGAGGUCUUUGAACAGCUUCAUUUCUCAGCGAGUGGAGGGAGGCUCUGGAUUGGAUGUUCCCGCCUCUGCCCCAGGUUCUCUGCAGAUGCAGUACCAGCAGAGCUUGCAGCUGGAGGAGCGGGCAGAGCAGAUCCGCGCCAAGUCCCACCUCAUCCAGGUGGAGCGUGAGAAGAUGCAGUUGGAGCUGAGCCACAAGAGGGCGCGCGUGGAGCUGGAGCAGGCUGCCAGCACCAGUGCCAGGCGCUACGAGAUGGAAUCCACCCAGCACCAUGGCCAGAUACAGACAUUGCCACAGCCGUAACCAGAGCAGAUGCCGCUGCCAGCGACCAAGAAGUCACAGAAGGAGGAGGCAAUGCUGCCAGAGGCGGAGAAAAAGAGUGUGCUAUCGUUGCUACACUGUGACGUCCAGAAGAUGUGAAAGGCACACGAGCAACUCCGCCACACUCCUGCCUGAAAUCGCUUCAGGUUUCGAGACCCUCUUGCAGCAUCUUGCGAAUGCCACCCUCACAAGGAAAUGAACAGGAGCCUCCUGUCAAAUGUUGAAAAAGCAAUUCAACUCUUGUCUCUUUGCCUUGACAGGAGCUCAGGAGGGGAGGGCUUGGGGAUGACUGGAAGAGGGGACAGGAGGAGCGGUUGUCAUACUGGAUCUUGUCCCAAUCUCUGACUACUCUGACUACUCCCAAGCCACAACCCAAAUCUGCCUCACCCAGUGCCCUAUUGAUCCCUCCCCAGCAGGGCCAGGAGCUGCUCAUGCUGGGUUCUGGGCCCGUCUCCAUCUCUGUGCUCACUGGCUUUCUAUUGGCAGCUUGAAAUGGGCCACAAACUGACAAAUGGUGCAAAUGCGGGCUUACUCCUCCCCACCCAAGAGAUUCCACACCAUUUGAGUUAGUGGUCUGGACAGGGCCAAGGCCCUCCCUGUCCGACCAGCAACCUGGUGCCAUCCUUGCUGCCCACCUAUGCAUGGUGUCAAACAGCAAGUCCAGCCUCUUUUAGAGAUGGGGCAACAGGCUGUCAUCUGACAGCUCAGGGUUGUGCUGCUGCUAAGACACGGUGCUGUGUGGGAGCUCACACCUGUCCUCUCUGUGCCCUGUGAGUAGCAAUGGUGGUGGCCUCAGUCUGUGGGAUUCCGCCUGCCUUGGCUGUCCUGCCUGUCCGCAUGCAGCCUGGUCCUUACUGCACCCUGUUCUGCUCCUCUGCACCCCACAGGGGUGUCCCCCACGCCCAUCACUCACUGGCUGUAGCUCCUUGCCCUGCGUUCCCACCCCCCACUUGCUGUCCUGCCUAGGGUUCUUACUCCUGAAGGGCAGGGUCUGCGCCGACUUUCGCCUCUUCCCCAUUUUUUCCCGCUGUGUGACGGGCGACCCACCCACUUCACGGGAUCAGGGCAGUUGGGCUCUGUUGUCCUACCUGACUUGUGAGCGCCGCUUUGCUGUCUGGCAGCUGCCUGUGAACUGGAGUCUCUUCUGUGAGUUUGGGUCUCAAGGAGCAGCCUCCUGUCCCCACCACUGCCACCACUGGCCCGGCCUUGCUUCCUGCCCUCCUGCCUUGGGCAGUCAUAUUCACAUUCUGUCCACUCAGGCUCAGAUUCAGACCCUACUUUUUUCUGUUAAAAUACCUUGUCUCACUUUCACUUGAUAGUGUGUGUCGCCCAGCAUGUGGUUUCCAAGUUAACGUUGGUCCUGCUUCGGCGAUGGCCCUCCUCUCCCACAGAUAAGGGGGAUCCUCUGAGCUUUAAAUUCUAAUUUUCAGGUGUUAACAUAUUGUCCAUUCAAGUCACCUUUCUAGGUUGACGUUUCUGUUGCACCCAUUUAAGUGAAAAAGCCACCUGUUUUCUUAGGGGAAGAUGAUGUUUGCAAAGUUACUAGAAAGCCAAUCUUGUUGUCAUUUAUUACUGCAUUACUAGGUGCGGCUGGGGCUGGGUUGCAGCAGAAAAAAAUUCCAGAAAGAAAAAAAAUUUUAGGAAAUGUAAUAAAAUCAAAACAAAAUGUCUUUUCGCCCUCUCCAGUUUGAAGAUGUUUGUUAAGAUAGGGUCUGUGGGAGUGUGGAGGAGACGAGCCUGUGGCUGCCUCUGGCCGCUGUCUCAGAUGGGCUGGAGCAGGGCAGGGGGCAGGGGCAGCGGGCCUUCCUGCUUGUCCCCCAUGGGCUGGCAUCCUGGCUUCUCAGCCCUGCCCUGGCACCCCACCCACCAAGGGCUGCCCUGCGCCCUCAGGGCCUUCUCUGCCCCUGGGCCUUAGUUGGGGCGUCUGGAAGCUGCAUUCUGCUGUGUUCAGACAACUCCGUCUUUAUUCUUCACUAACUCUGUACGCUCAGGAGAGCCCCCACCACACCCACUGCUGUCCACGCCAGGGCCCCAGAAGCCUCGGGGAAGUGCUGGGGUGGUGUGUGGCCCUUGCAGUGCCUUCACAAAGGGCCGUGAAUUUGGGGGAGGCAGGGUGGGAGGGGCUCAUGUCCCACCAGGCAUGCGUGGCUCCUCUGCAGGGGUCUUUGUGGUGUGUAUGUGAUGGGAAACCCAGUGCUUUCCACUCCAUAAGUGCCUCCUCGGGGAUACUGAUGAGAUGAAAGUGUCAGCGUUGGAGAUAACAGCUCGAGUGAAGUGCCCCCCUGAGGCACUGUUUGAACCAGACCUAUUUUCUUCCGCAAGGAGUAAUUGCCCACAUCCCCAUUCAUGACUGCAGAUUAAAUCUGAGCAACUUGAAAAGACUUGGAAAUGCCUGGCUUUGGUUACAGGAGCCAAUGACCUGCCCCCCUUGCAUGAGGCCACUGGCAUGGGAUCACCAACUCCCUGGCAUAUUGGUGCCAUUGGAGCUAGACAACUGCCCAAAACCCAGAGCCUGCCUGAGCCCAGCACCCCAUCUUCCUGGCACAUCCACCCCAUGCGGGCCUGGCAAGUGCAGGGCAGGGCAGUGAAGAUGGCCCCUCCCACCUCCCCCUGCUUCUCCCUGCACCGCUGGGUCUUUGCAUGUACCCCUCCGCCUCCCUGGCUCCUUCACAUGCACCACCCUUCCACCUGCUCUGGCUCACCUGCCAUCUCUGUCUCUCCUGAGAGGGCAGGGCCUCAUCCAUGUGGGUCACCAGCAGUUAGCAGGCAGUAGGCACUCAGGAGAUGCCUGGUAAACAUUCAUUUGCCGGUGAGGAAACUGAGGUCCAGGGAGGGUGGCGCCAAGGAGCCGAGGAGCACGCUCCCACCUCUGUCCCCUGUGUGGCCGUGCGGCCCCCAGUCCCGGCUGUUGCCUCUGCCUCUGAGCGGCCCCUCCACCCUCCUGCAGGACUUGAGUGUGCCCUGCAUGUGGACAGGCUGCUCUGUUGCCACCCUUCUUGCUGCCAUCAGCUGGGGGUUUGGGGUUUGCCCUCCAGGUAAAGGGCUGCAGAGAGGCCCUCUCACCUCGUCAGGCCCUGAAAGUGCCUGUGCUGGGUGCCUUGGGCAGCUUCUGGUUUUCUUUCCACAGUGGUCAUCCUCUAAGCUGGGUUCCCACCCCCCAGGUGUCUGGAAGACUGCACCCUGCCCUCUGGGCACACCCUGCAGGCAGUUCUCCUAGGCCUGCCUCCUCCCACUUCCAGCCCCCUGGGGUGUUGUCAGCCCUUUCCUGCUGUUUCUUCAGACUCCCUGGAUCGUGCUCCCCCUUGUGAGAAAUCAGCAACUGCACAAUUUGUGUGUGUCCAUUUCAACAGCACACAUGUGACCCAACGAUGAAAUGUGAGAUGACUCAACAUGACGUUUGUUUUUAAUGUUUUUGAAAAACAAAGUUACUUACACAAAAAUUAACAUGAGUAGGAUUUCCUUUCUCCUGUACACCUCUGAACUGCCCUGAGCAGCCCUUGAGCGCAGGCUCCCUGCACCGGGGGGACCGUGGGUCAUACCCAAGACUGUUCCCAGCUGUGGUGGAGAAGCUGGGCUGGGCCACCACACCGGCCUUAAGUGCUGCUCGGGCAGGCGUGGGUGGUACCGCCUGGUCCUCUCUGGCCGUUCCCUGCUCACCGCGCUGUCCCCGUUUGUCCUUGUUUUGGCUCUCCCACCUUGGAAGUUGGCCCCCUGGGGUUGGCCUUUGUGGAGGGUCAGUGCCAGGUAGCUUGUUCACGGCUCUGGGGGACCUCAGGGGCCAGGGCCCAGGGUGGGACCGGGGAGAUGAGAG